ACCAAGGUCCUAUUGUAAGUGACUCUGCAGCAGCAGUUGUGAUAGUCUCUUUAAGUCACUUUGGAGUCUGCUAAAUGAUAAUAUAUGUUUCUUUGUUUGAACCACAUUUUGGUGUCUUUACACUUGGUACGUAGGCAUAGUUGUAUUCUGUGAUUCUUAGUCAGGUUCCUUUACCAGUGCUGUCUUGUUUUGGAAAGUCUGCUUAUAAGAGUCACACAAUUCUGAACAUGUUCACAACAUGGCAGAUAAAUGCAGCCAAGUGUGUAGAAAACAUCUAGUUUGAUCGCUACACACUAUGUUCUAAUUGUAAAUGUUGCUAAAAAGUUUAGGGGAUUGAAUGCUAAAGUCACAGUGAAAAGGGCACUAAAGUUUUUAUGUUAGUUUUGUUUUUUCUUUGCAGUUUUUGCUCUGAGCCCUUAUUAGUUCUGUCAGCCAAAAGCUAUUUAAAUAUAACAUUUAAAAUAUAUUUGUGGAGGAGUAAGUGCCUAAUAAGCAAUCUAAUAAUUAGCAGGUGAUUGAUAUUUCUUGAUGUUAUUUCUUUGGUAUGCCUGUUUCAUCUCACAAUUUAAAAAAGUAUAUUUCUGAUUUUACAGAGCUUCGUUUGGACAAAAGACUUCCAACUACUGUGAAAAAGACCUGUGCAGUCACGAAAAAGCAGCACAUUGAACCAGAGCUUAACGUUCUUAUUUAUGAACCCGAUAACCCAGAGGCCAAACAAUUUACUCCCUUAUUGAAGAGAAGCUGCUGAUAGUGAUGCAUAUUUCUCACUAUCUCGCUCUUCAAAACUGUGGAGAAAUUGAACCUGCACUAAGGAGAUUCUGG